AAAAGAAAACAUGUUGACACUCUAUAGCAGUACAAAAUUUAAACAGCACAAUGCCCACAUACCCAUAUACUCCACAUAACACAUACUCCAUUACAGGCAACCUGGUCGACCAUUACACAAUUUGAGCAACACAUACUCAAUUACAUAAUUUCUCAUGUCUUCAAGAUGCUACAAACAUCAAUCUGGCCCUUUCUUCAAGAAGUAGGGGUGGAUAUUUCCUGCCUAGAUUGAACAGUCAGAAGGUCCAUCGGCUGAUGUUGAAGCUCCCUAAAACAAAGUAAAUUUGCAGCAGGUUAUGUAAGAACUAAACUGAACUACACCCUCUGUAAACUAAUAUAAGAGCAUUUAGAUCACUAAAGUAGUGAUCUAAAUGCUCUUAUAUUAGUUUACGGAGGGAGUACUAAAUUUGCAAUUGCACAGAACUGAAGAUGGCUGCUAUAUAGGUUAGUGCGAGAUAACAGCAGAGCGACAUCUUAACAAUGGCAAAGCCAAGGGACAUGCUGCCACUGCUAGGAGGAAGGGAACAAUAAAAGUUGGAUAGAUUGAAACCUGGAAGAAACGCCAGAACUGAUCGCCCUUUCCAGCAUAGACCGUUUGAUUUGUAGAUUAAUUUUUCUUUAUGUCCGGUGGCAAGGCAUGAGUACAUGGUGGCGUGGCAUGCUACUCUUUUUGAAUCCUUCCAUCAAAACUUCGUUACUUUGAACACUGCCA
rnacentral:lncRNA from 1 species